CCCCUCUCAGGGUCGCACCUGGAAUAUUUUCAGUACUCUACCAGUCUCGGGUACGGGAGGAAGAGUCAAGCAGAGGCACACCCAGUCCAUUCCUAGUUUGGGCAGUGGCUAGCGAGUGGAAGGCAAUCUGCUACAAUU